rnacentral:rRNA from 1 species
AUUGAACGCUGGCGGCAGGCCUAACACAUGCAAGUCGAACGAGUGGCGGACGGGUGAGUAAUGUCUGGGAAACUGCCUGAUGGAGGGGGAUAACUACUGGAAACGGUAGCUAAUACCGCAUACCAUCAGAUGUGCCCAGAUGGGAUUGGCUAGUUGGUGGGGGAACGGCUCACCAAGGCGAAGUUCCCUAGCUGGUCUGAGAGGAUGACCAGCAACACUGGAACGGGGACACGGUCCGGACUCCUACGGGAGGAAGCGGUGGGGAAUAUUGCACAAUGGGGGCAAGCCUGAUGCGGCAAUGCCGGGUGGAUGAAGAAGGCCUUCGGGUUGUAAAGUACUUUCAGCGGGGAGGCGGUACCCGCAGAAGAAGCACCGGCUAACUCCGUGCCAGCAGCCGCGGUAAUUC